rnacentral:tRNA from 1 species
GGUGAGGUUCCCGAGCGGUCAAAGGGGGCAGACUGUAAAUCUGCUGGCUCAGCCUUCGGUGGUUCGAAUCCACCCCUCACCACCA